rnacentral:rRNA from 1 species
UACGGAGGGGGCUAGCGUUGUUCGGAAUUACUGGGCGUAAAGGGUGCGCAGGCGGGAUCUUAAGUCAGGGGUGAAAUCCCGAGGCUCAACCUCGGAACUGCCCUUGAUACUGGGGUUCUUGAGUCCGGAAGAGGUGGGUGGAACUGCGAGUGUAGAGGUGAAAUUCGUAGAUAUUCGCAAGAACACCGGUGGCGAAGGCGGCCCACUGGUCCGGAACUGACGCUGAGGCACGACAGCGUGGGGAGCAAACAGG